GCUCGCCACUCAGUCUUCAAUCAAAUCUAUUCUCUUGGCUUGUAUUCAGCACGAGCAGGCUAAAUCCAUCAUUAAGAAGUUGUGCGAUACUGUUUCUGAGCUUGCCUCUGGUAUUUUGCCUGAGAAUGGCUGGCCUGAGCUUUUGCCUUUUAUGUUUCAGUGCGUUUCAUCUGAUUCUCCAAAACUACAGGAAUCGGCGUUCUUGAUUUUUGCUCAAUUGUCACAGUAUAUUGGCGAGACCUUAAUUCCGUUUAUUAAGGAUUUACACACGGUAUUUUUGCAGUGUUUGGGAUCGUCCCCAAAUUUUGAUGUGAAGAUUGCCGCUUUGAACGCGGUUAUCAAUUUUAUUCAGUGCUUGAGUAGCUCAUCGGAUCGGGAUAGGUUUCAGGAUUUGUUGCCGGCUAUGAUGAGGACGUUGACUGAAGCUUUGAAUAAUGGGAAUGAGGCUACGGCGCAGGAGGCCUUGGAGCUUCUUAUCGAGUUGGCAGGUACAGAGCCAAGGUUUCUGCGACGACAGUUGGUGGAUGUGGUGGGUUCCAUGUUGCAGAUUGGUGAGGCUGAGAGUUUAGAAGAAGGGACUC
rnacentral:misc_RNA from 1 species